GACUAAGCGUACACGGUGGAUGCCCUGGCAGUCAGAGGCGAUGAAGGACGUGCUAAUCUGCGAAAAGCGUCGGUAAGGUGAUAUGAACCGUUAUAACCGGCGAUGUCCGAAUGGGGAAACCCAGUGCAAUUCGUUGCACUAUCGUUAACUGAAUACAUAGGUUAACGAGGCGAACCGGGGGAACUGAAACAUCUAAGUACCCCGAGGAAAAGAAAUCAACCGAGAUUCCCCCAGUAGCGGCGAGCGAACGGGGAGCAGCCCAGAGUCUGAAUCAGCUUGUGUGUUAGUGGAACGGUCUGGAAAGUCCGACGGUACAGGGUGAUAGUCCCGUACACCAAAAUGCACAGGCUGUGAACUCGAAGAGUAGGGCGGGACACGUGGUAUCCUGUCUGAAUAUGGGGGGACCAUCCUCCAAGGCUAAAUACUCCUGACUGACCGAUAGUGAACCAGUACCGUGAGGGAAAGGCGAAAAGAACCCCGGCGAGGGGAGUGAAAAAGAACCUGAAACCGUGUACGUACAAGCAGUGGGAGCACCUUCGGGUGUGACUGCGUACCUUUUGUAUAAUGGGUCAGCGACUUAUAUUCUGUAGCAAGGUUAACCGUAUAGGGGAGCCGCAGGGAAACCGAGUCUUAACUGGGCGUUAAGUUGCAGGGUAUAGACCCGAAACCCGGUGAUCUAGCCAUGGGCAGGUUGAAGGUUGGGUAACACUAACUGGAGGACCGAACCGACUAAUGUUGAAAAAUUAGCGGAUGACUUGUGGCUGGGGGUGAAAGGCCAAUCAAACCGGGAGAUAGCUGGUUCUCCCCGAAAGCUAUUUAGGUAGCGCCUCGUGAAUUCAUCUUCGGGGGUAGAGCACUGUUUCGGCUAGGGGGUCAUCCCGACUUACCAACCCGAUGCAAACUACGAAUACCGAAGAAUGUUAUCACGGGAGACACACGGCGGGUGCUAACGUCCGUCGUGAAGAGGGAAACAACCCAGACCGCCAGCUAAGGUCCCAAAGUCAUGGUUAAGUGGGAAACGAUGUGGGAAGGCACAGACAGCCAGGAUGUUGGCUUAGAAGCAGCCAUCAUUUAAAGAAAGCGUAAUAGCUCACUGGUCGAGUCGGCCUGCGCGGAAGAUGUAACGGGGCUAAACCAUGCACCGAAGCUGCGGCAGCGACACUAUGUGUUGUUGGGUAGGGGAGCGUUCUGUAAGCCUGCGAAGGUGUGCUGUGAGGCAUGCUGGAGGUAUCAGAAGUGCGAAUGCUGACAUAAGUAACGAUAAAGCGGGUGAAAAGCCCGCUCGCCGGAAGACCAAGGGUUCCUGUCCAACGUUAAUCGGGGCAGGGUGAGUCGACCCCUAAGGCGAGGCCGAAAGGCGUAGUCGAUGGGAAACAGGUUAAUAUUCCUGUACUUGGUGUUACUGCGAAGGGGGGACGGAGAAGGCUAUGUUAGCCGGGCGACGGUUGUCCCGGUUUAAGCAUGUAGGCUGGUUGUCCAGGCAAAUCCGGAUAAUCAAGGCUGAGGUGUGAUGACGAGGCACUACGGUGCUGAAGUAACAAAUGCCCUGCUUCCAGGAAAAGCCUCUAAGCAUCAGGUAACAUUAAAUCGUACCCCAAACCGACACAGGUGGUCAGGUAGAGAAUACCAAGGCGCUUGAGAGAACUCGGGUGAAGGAACUAGGCAAAAUGGUGCCGUAACUUCGGGAGAAGGCACGCUGGUGUGUAGGUGAAGUCCCUGCGGAUGGAGCUGAGACCAGUCGAAGAUACCAGCUGGCUGCAACUGUUUAUUAAAAACACAGCACUGUGCAAACACGAAAGUGGACGUAUACGGUGUGACGCCUGCCCGGUGCCGGAAGGUUAAUUGAUGGGGUUAUCCGUAAGGAGAAGCUCUUGAUCGAAGCCCCGGUAAACGGCGGCCGUAACUAUAACGGUCCUAAGGUAGCGAAAUUCCUUGUCGGGUAAGUUCCGACCUGCACGAAUGGCGUAAUGAUGGCCAGGCUGUCUCCACCCGAGACUCAGUGAAAUUGAACUCGCUGUGAAGAUGCAGUGUACCCGCGGCAAGACGGAAAGACCCCGUGAACCUUUACUAUAGCUUGACACUGAACAUUGAGCCUUGAUGUGUAGGAUAGGUGGGAGGCUUUGAAGCGUGGACGCCAGUCUGCGUGGAGCCAACCUUGAAAUACCACCCUUUAAUGUUUGAUGUUCUAACGUUGGCCCCUUACCGGGGUUGCGGACAGUGUCUGGUGGGUAGUUUGACUGGGGCGGUCUCCUCCCAAAGCGUAACGGAGGAGCACGAAGGUUAGCUAAUCCUGGUCGGACAUCAGGAGGUUAGUGCAAUGGCAUAAGCUAGCUUGACUGCGAGCGUGACGGCGCGAGCAGGUGCGAAAGCAGGUCAUAGUGAUCCGGUGGUUCUGAAUGGAAGGGCCAUCGCUCAACGGAUAAAAGGUACUCCGGGGAUAACAGGCUGAUACCGCCCAAGAGUUCAUAUCGACGGCGGUGUUUGGCACCUCGAUGUCGGCUCAUCACAUCCUGGGGCUGAAGUAGGUCCCAAGGGUAUGGCUGUUCGCCAUUUAAAGUGGUACGCGAGCUGGGUUUAGAACGUCGUGAGACAGUUCGGUCCCUAUCUGCCGUGGGCGCUGGAGAAUUGAGGGGGGCUGCUCCUAGUACGAGAGGACCGGAGUGGACGCAUCACUGGUGUUCGGGUUGUCAUGCCAAUGGCACUGCCCGGUAGCUAAAUGCGGAAGAGAUAAGUGCUGAAAGCAUCUAAGCACGAAACUUGCCCCGAGAUGAGUUCUCCCUGAGACUUUAAGUCUCCUGAAGGAACGUUGAAGACGACGACGUUGAUAGGCCGGGUGUGUAAGCGCAGCGAUGCGUUGAGCUAACCGGUACUAAUGAACCGUGAGGCUUAACCUU
rnacentral:rRNA from 1 species